rnacentral:sRNA from 1 species
AAAAAAAUUUUUGCGUCAACAAAAAUGCUUUAAAUAAUGAAAAUACGAAAUUUCAAUAAAAUCGGACAAGAGAAUCGAGGGCAAGGCGGCAACAGAAAACCGGAGGACUUAUAUGAGAUUUGUGUCUUGUGUCCAAAAAUUCCCCAAAAUAACCAAGGAAAUUGCUGAUGGAAUAACAGCUGGUGGUGGCGUCGGUCUUAUGCGAGAUGUGUGCCUACCAAAAUUCCCCAAAAUAACUAACGAAAUUGCUCAUGGAAUUAUAGCUCCCACCUUGCCUAAUGGUGAGGACGCCAAAUGUUAACUGCAUUUUGGAAAUGAUGCGAACGGUGAGAAGAAAUAAAAAGGCGAAAAAGAUGACAACUCAGGAAAGAUUGA